UAAAAGGGUCGGUUGGCUAAAUAUGCCGCGCUCGCUCACAACGAGUGAGUGCUGUAUGGCAAUCUAGACAUAUGGCCGACAUAAUUUGUGGAAACUUCAUAGGGUUGGCCCAAUUGGCCGACCCUCCA